rnacentral:rRNA from 1 species
CACGUAGGCGGUCUGUUAUGUCGGAUGUGAAAGCCCUUGGCUCAACUGAGGAAAUGCAUCCGAAACUGGCAGGCUAGAGUACGUAAGAGGGUCGCGGAAUUCCCGGUGUAGAGGUGAAAUUCGUAGAUAUCGGGAGGAACACCGGUGGCGAAGGCGGCGACCUGGGACGAUACUGACGCUGAGGUGCGAAAGCGUGGGGAGCAAACA